rnacentral:RNase_P_RNA from 1 species
GAAGCUGACCAGACAGUCGCCGCUUCGUCGUCGUCCUCUUAGGGGGAGACGGGCGGAGGGGAGGAAAGUCCGGGCUCCAUAGGGCAAGGUGCCAGGUAACGCCUGGGGGGUGUCACAGCCCACGACCAGUGCAACAGAGAGUAAACCGCCGAUGGCCCGCGCAAGCGGGAUCAGGUAAGGGUGAAAGGGUGCGGUAAGAGCGCACCGCGCGGCUGGUAACAGUCCGCGGCACGGUAAACUCCACCCGGAGCAAGGCCAAAUAGGGGUUCAUAAGGUACGGCCCGUACUGAACCCGGGUAGGCUGCUUGAGCCAGUGAGCGAUUGCUGGCCUAGAUGAAUGACUGUCCACGACAGAACCCGGCUUAUCGGUCAGUUUCACCU